rnacentral:rRNA from 1 species
GACGAACGCUGGCGGCGUGCUUAACACAUGCAAGUCGAGCGAGGAAAUUCCUUCGGGAGUUUCCUAGCGGCGGACGGGUGAGUAACACGUGGGCAACCUGCCUGAUAGAGGGGGAUAGCCUCCCGAAAGGGAGAUUAAUACCGCAUAAAGUCAAAUGAAGGCAUCUUCAAAUGACCAAAGGAGUAAUCCGCUACCAGAUGGGCCCGCGGCGCAUUAGCUAGUUGGUGAGGUAACGGCUUACCAAGGCGACGAUGCGUAGCCGACCCGAGAGGAUGAUCAGCCACACUGGAACUGAGACACGGUCCAGACUCCUACGGGAGGCAGCAGUGGGGAAUAUUGGACAAUGGGGGCAACCCUGAUCCAGCCAUGCCGCGUGUGCGAUGAAGGCCCUAGGGUUGUAAAGCACUUUUGGCGGGGACGACGAUGACGGUACCCGCAGAAUAAGUCACGGCUAACUUCGUGCCAGCCGCCGCCGUAA